CGCAGGCGGUCGUAUAAGUCGAAUGUGAAAGCCCCCGGCUCAACUGGGGAGGGUCAUUCGAUACUGUUCGACUGGAAGGCAGGAGAGGGAAGCGGAAUUCCCGGUGUAGUGGUGAAAUGCGUAGAUAUCGGGAGGAACACCAGUGGCGAAGGCGGCUUCCUGGCCUGUUCUUGACGCUGAGGCGCGAAGGCUAGGGGAGCAAACGGGAUUAGAUACCCCGGUAGUCCUAGCCGUAAACGAUGGACACUAGGUGUUGGCGGUAUCAACCCCGCCAGUGCCGAAGCUAACGUAUUAAGUGUCCCGCCUGGGGAGUACGGCCGCAAGGCUAAA
rnacentral:rRNA from 1 species